AGAGCUCACAGUAGGUGGCAGUACUGCUCUGAGAAGGCAAACCACCAAUAAAGCAAGAAGAAGAGCUCUACCUGCUGUUUCACUCACCUGUGUGUUUCUCCUCCAGUGUUUGCUCAGCGGUUCACCUGUUCGUGUGUUCUCUCCUGCUCAUCUCGGCCGGUCAGCAUCACCAGAACUGUGGAGUUGAACAGCAGAUCUGAAAUACUUCAGAAACACGCAUCAUACUGCUUUACAAGUUGAGACAUGAGAAUGAAGAGAGAAGCAGGCAGACGUCACAGUAAACACACCCAUCCUCAUACAGGACGAGGUCAUGGAGAGUCUGUGCUCGCAGAGAUCCUCAGAAAACAUCUCAGGUCUCUGGGAUACCUGCAUUCAGAGGGUCCGCUGAUUAUUAGACUAAAGAACAACACAUCUUUUACGAAGGGAGCCAGCUUCAGGAUCUGUUGAAGUCCAACAGUGAUAUAUGACUAGCUCAGAGUAGAGUAUAACCUGUCUGAAACACGGCCCAACUGGGUUCCUCAUUCAGUAAUAAACAUUCACAACAGAGAGAAAGGAAGGAAAACAACACUAUAGAAACCCCUUGUUUUGCCUAUACUACUUUGCUAUUUAAUUUUUGCUCUGCUUGAUGUCAAACACUACCAAUCACGGUAUUGAUUUAUGAUGAGAAACUUUAAUAAUUGACAUAACUGAUGCUUUAAAUAGACACUGCCUGUUUGUAAUGUAUUUUAGAUAUGCAGAAUGGUGGCGGCAGCGCUUUCUUCUCGACUCUUCAAGUGUGUUUAAUAUUAACUGUUAAUAAAGUCAUGCUUGACUGAUGUAGUCUCUCCAGAAUCAACAUCAGUGGCAGUUGCCUUCAUUUCAGUGGAGCCAAAUUUUAUUUCCAAUUUAAUUUCACGACUCAAGCCUCCAUCAGUUUUGGGCAUUCCCACUUCAAAAAAGCCAACCGGCUCAACCCCCGGCUCAUCGAUAAACUGCACCUGUUUUUCAUUUGUGCUGAAGAACUGAAAGAUGGCAGAUGUUUGAUUGGUGUGUGAUGGAUUAAAAAAGAAC
ensembl:antisense